AUUGAACGCUGGCGGCAUGCUUUACACAUGCAAGUCGAACGGUAACAGGCCGCAAGGUGCUGACGAGUGGCGAACGGGUGAGUAAUGCAUCGGAACGUGCCCAGUCGUGGGGGAUAACUACUCGAAAGAGUAGCUAAUACCGCAUACGAUCUAUGGAUGAAAGCGGGGGACCGUAAGGCCUCGCGCGAUUGGAGCGGCCGAUGUCAGAUUAGGUAGUUGGUGGGGUAAAGGCUCACCAAGCCAACGAUCUGUAGCUGGUCUGAGAGGACGACCAGCCACACUGGGACUGAGACACGGCCCAGACUCCUACGGGAGGCAGCAUUGGGGAAUUUUGGACAAUGGGCGCAAGCCUGAUCCAGCAAUGCCGCGUGCAGGAAGAAGGCCUUCGGGUUGUAAACUGCUUUUGUACGGAACGAAACGGCUCUGGUUAAUACCCGGGGCUAAUGACGGUACCGGAAGAAUAAGCACCGGCUAACUACGUG
rnacentral:rRNA from 1 species